UACAGAGGGUGCGAGCGUUGUCCGGAAUCACUGGGCGUAAAGGGCGCGUAGGUGGCGCGACAAGUCAGUGGUGAAAGCUCGACGCUCAACGUCGAGUCGGCCACUGAUACUGUUGGGCUUGAGCACUGUAGAGGCUAAUGGAAUUCCGGGUGUAGCGGUGGAAUGCGUAGAGAUCCGGAAGAACACCGGUGGCGAAGGCGGUUAGCUGGGCAGUAGCUGACACUGAGGCGCGACAGCGUGGGGAGCAAACAGG
rnacentral:rRNA from 1 species